rnacentral:tRNA from 1 species
GGUCUAUUAGUCUAGUUGGUUAGGACGUCGGAUUCUGAUCUCACGAUCAUAUCCUUCCGUAGGCCCAGGUUCGAAUCCUGGAUGGACCU